rfam:TPA: Bos taurus chromosome 17, whole genome shotgun sequence.
UCCCUGGUGGCUCAGACAGUAAAGAAUCCACCUGUAAUGUGGGAGACCUGGGUUUGAUCCCUGGCUUGGGAA